GUGUGGUGGGAAAGACUGUAGCCUUGUUGACUUUGUGUUAAUCAUCACACCUGCUUAAGGAAGUACCAGAGAGACAGGCAGAUUUGCAGGCUAAUGAAAUGCAGGCCUAGAUGGAACAGAGCAAUAGAUCUGUCAAAUAUCUCUGCACAGACAGCAAGUGGUAUGGCUAGCAGCUGAUAUGAUUACCAGGGAACAUGUACUGAGGGAGGGUCAACAAUCAAAAGUGAAGCUCUGAGGUGGCCGCCGCUGUGGAUGAUAGAAAGGAGGAACAAUUAGGGAAGGAGGGGGAGAAUCAGAAAACAUCGAAGAAAAGCUAUGAAGAAAAGCAUGGUCAGCAGUAGCUGGCAGGUUGCAGUGGAAGAGGCUGGUUUAGAGCUACUCCUGAGCUGUGCUUUGAACCAGAUCACUAGACAUCCUGCCCAGUCAGCCUAGUCCAGCCGAAGGAAAUAACAUGUUAGAAAGGCUCUUUGUGUGAACAGCAGGAAGGACUAAAAUGGUGUGGAGAAGAAGAGAAAAAGGAAGAAAUAUCUUGCAAGAUUGUUUAUGGAAUGACACCAAGAAAGGCUCUGGAGAUGGAAGGCUAGUUAGAAAGGUUUCUCUCCCUCACUGGCAUUGACAAACACAUCCUGGAACAACUUACGACUUUUCCUCUUGUUCACAGGACAGCAUCACAAUGGCCCAAAAUACAUUCCUCCGCACCCCAGCCCCCACCCAUCUUCUCCAAACCACAAAGCUUGGGUAAUCAAUGCCUUUCCACCUGAGACACCACGGCAGCCUUCAACAUGACUCUGGAACCAUUUCACAUCUGGAUGUGUACUAGAACAUCCUGAGCGCUCUGCUACUGCAUCUCACUGUAACAGCAAUAAUUGAUAAAAACAACAAAAAAAAACUGCAGGAGGAAGGUUUUAGGCCAAAGAGAAAAGGGAGAGGAUUAGUGAUAUUUUAUUUGUGAAGAUUUGCUUUUGUACGCUAGGAUAUUCUUAUUAUUUCUUAUUUAUAAUCAUGACAUCACUAGAAUUUAUGCCAGAUGACGUGAAGCAUUGUAUGUACUGAAGUAUGAAGACAGAAAUCCAGAGGGGACUACCCGAAAGGUUUCUCCAUUGUAAAUCAAAUGCUGCAUUGAAAAGAAGAUCAGACGAGUUAAUUCUCUGUUUUGCCUCCAUGUGCUCACCAUCAUGUGCAGCAUUUCUGAAUACCUCCAAGGAGCACAGAACCGAUACCUGUGCUGCCCUAGGAAAUUCUCAGAAAUGUUCUUGUCGGGUAGCAGUAACUAAUUAAUGUAAUGACAAAUUCUAGUUAGAAAAAAAUCUGCUUUGGGAGAGUCUGGGAUGAA